rnacentral:rRNA from 1 species
UACGUAGGAGGCAAGCGUUGUCCGGAAUUAUUGGGCGUAAAGCGCGUGUAGGCGGCUUUGCAAGUCGGGUGUGAAAGCCCUCAGCUCAACUGAGGAAGUGCGCCCGAAACUGCAGAGCUUGAGUGCCGGAGAGGGUGGCGGAAUUCCCCAAGUAGAGGUGAAAUUCGUAGAUAUGGGGAGGAACACCGGUGGCGAAGGCGGCCACCUGGACGGUAACUGACGCUGAGACGCGAAAGCGUGGGGAGCAAACAGG